AUGAAUUUAAUGUGGAGUUGGUUGUAGCUGGUCCAUUUGGAUUUUUUAAAUAAUUUCCUUUGGACAUGUGCACACCUUCUCUUUCAUCCACACACACCUGUGAACUUGUGAGGCAGAUUUGCUCUUUGGGGACUUUAACUAGAAACCAAUUAGCUGCUGUCUACUUAAUUUACACACACUCUAUUUAUUUUAAAAUGAAUGUAAUUGAUGUAACGCAUCUAAUACUAAGUUUCAACAACGGAUCUCUUGGCUCUCGCAUCGAUGAAGAACGCAGCGAAAUGCGAUAAGUAAUGUGAAUUGCAGAAUUCAGUGAAUCAUCGAAUCUUUGAACGCACCUUGCGCUCCUUGGUAUUCCUUGGAGCAUGCCUGUUUGAGUAUCAUGAAAUCUUCAAAGUCAAUCUUUUGUUAACUCAAUUGGUUGUGCUUUGGUAUUGGAGGUAUAUUGCAGCUUUCACACCCUGCUCCUCUUUGUGCAUUAGCUGGAUCUCGGUGUUAUGCUUGGUUCCACUCGGCGUGAUAAGUUAUCUAUCGCUGAGGACACUAUUAAAAAUGGUGGCCAAGGUAAACACAUGAUUGAACCGCUUCCAACGGUCCAUUGACUUGGACAAUACUCUUUAUGAUUUGAUCUCAAAUCAGGUAGGACUACCCGCUGAACUUAAGCAUAUCAAUAAGCGGAGGAAAAGAAACUAACAAGGAUUCCCCUAGUAACGGCGAGUGAAGCGGGAAGAGCUCAAAUUUAAAAUCUGGCAGCCUUGUGU
rnacentral:sRNA from 1 species